ACGGCACCGACGUGUCCUGCACGGUGCACGUCGAGGCGCCCUCCACGGCGGCGCCGCUCCUCGGGCCCAGGCCCGGCGACGGCGCCGUCCCCGCCCCGCCUUUGCCGGUAAUACUCUUCAAUGUGCUCUUCUGGACCAUCUUCGCCUGGAUCGUCUACUCGUACUGGUUCUGAUUGGAGCGGACGCAUGGAAGUAAGACGAGCUGCCUGCAAUGCCAUUUACAGACUGCAUUUGCAAAUAAUGAUAGAGUUACUGCUGGAAUAGGCGAGUGAAAGAACAACCGCAAACGAUAUUUCUGGAUGUACUGCCUCGAUGAUAUGAAUUUUUAAGCUACACCGUUCUCUUGUUCA